rnacentral:tRNA from 1 species
AUAAAAUUAGUUUAAAUAAAAUAGUAAAUUGUGGUUUUACAGAUAAUUAUAAAAAUUAUUUUAUU